rnacentral:rRNA from 1 species
UCGAGGAUCUUUUGCAAUGCGCGAAAGCGUGACAAAGCGACGCUGCGUGGAGGAUGAAGGCCUUCGGGUUGUAAACUCCUGUUGUUCGGGAAAAACGGCAGGCAUACUAAUACUAUGCCUGAGUGAUGGUACCGGAAAAGAAAGCCACGGCUAACUCUGUGCCAGCAGCCGCGGUAAUACAGAGGUGGCAAGCGGUGUUCGGGUUUACUGGGCGUAAAGGGUGCGUAGGUGGUUCCGUGUGGCGGGUGUGAAAUCCCAGCGCUCAACGGUGGAA